UAGGGAGGACAGGGUUCAGACCCCCUCCCCAAGCCCAGGGUAACCUUGAAAGUGGAGGGGAA
rfam:Mus musculus chromosome 6, GRC primary reference assembly.